UCGCGACGCGGGGCCGCCACCGCCGCCGGGCCGAGGGAGGGCCCGGCAACCGCCGCCUGCGCGCCGGCUGCCCCUCGGCUCCUGGGAGCCGCGGCGCUACGGGCCUGCCGAGCACUCGGGCGGGCGCCGAGCAGGCUGGGCCCCGGCGCAGUGGCCUAGCCUGGACCGCAAGGCCGAAGCCGCCUCCGGGCCGCGUCCCGGUGUUUCGGGUUGUGUAACCUUGGCCAAAAUGCUUAAGCUUUUUUCCUGGCUGCCAAAUGGGGCCGAUCGUCUGACCUGCUGCCUCCGGAACUUGAGGGAUCAGAUCAAAUAACCCUUUCCUGGCGCUCGUCUGCCGCUGUGAAUGAAUCACGGGCUCCUGUAAUCACCGUUAGGAGAGAUUGUUAAACUCGUACAGGGUUGGAUGUUUUAAAGUUACUGAAUAUUUACUGGACCCCUACUGUUCAAUCAAGACAUGCUAAGUUAGCUUGCCAUUCUUGUUCAUUUAUGUGUUUACUUAACUAUUUCUGGGUCUCCUCUUCCCAGUCAUAAAUAUCUCUUGGAGUGUAAGCUCCUCGGAGCAGAGAUCCUGUUUCCGUAUUUCCUGUACCUAGAACAGUGCCAGAUCCGUAGUAGACACUGAAACAAAAAAUCUUUAAAAAAAAAAAAAUAUACGAAUGUGGCACCACCAUUUACACAGGCCACUAAGCCAAAAAUCUCGAACUUGUCAGAUUGUCUCUUCUCAGCCAUCAGCAGUCAACAAGUUCUAGCAUUUGGUCUCUUAAAAGUGGUUCAAGAGUUUAUUUUUCCUCUCCUUCCUCUGCCAGUACCAACCAGUCUUCCGUAUCACUAUGUAUUGCAAGAGUCUCACAAGAAGAUAUCCAUCACUGACUGAUCUUCCUCCCGUUUAACAUCCCCAACAGGUGCCAGGGUGAUGUUUUUUUUAUUCUAAAAAGAAACCAGAUUAUAUCGCUCACUCCCUUGCUUAAAACAGUUCUUCAAUGUUAGGUAAAUAAAUCAUGGAGUCACCACGAGGGCGUUCAUCUGCCAGGCACUAUUCUGAACGAUAUUGGCUCAUUAAAUUCUCACAGAAACCCUAUGCAGCAGGUACGGUGAAAAUGUUCCUGUUACAGAUGAGGUAACUGAAGCACAGAGAGCUUGAGUGGCUUGCUGAAACACCAGACCCACUCAGUCUGGCUCCAUAAUAGGUCUUUUUGCUGGUAAUGAUUUACCAACUAUACAGCCACUUUAAAAAAAGGAAAUAGGGCCCUUGUGACUGGACCUCAUGCCAAACAACUCGUUACAAAAAGAGCUAGGGUUCCAGACUGCGCCGAAGCUUCAUGAGACCUCUCCUUGUCUGCAUGGACGAGUGGCCAACUCUGGAGCCCAGGCUGUUGCUUCCCAGUCUGGUGGUGAAUCCUCCAUAGUCUGAUCUUGUUGCCAUAUAAAAGGCUAUGAAUUAAAGGCCACGUGUAGAGAGGCCCCGGAGGAUGAGAGGUUUCCUUGGAUGUUCCAGCCCAAGCAGGGCUUACUGCUGAAUGCUGGCUCAUGAAUGACCCCAGCCGAUGCCACAGAGGAAAGAUGAACCACCGUCCCCCACUGAGUCCUGUUUAAGUUGUAGGAUAAGGUAUAAAUGAAGGGUUGUUUUAAGCCACUACAUUUUGGCAUGGUUUAUUGCAUGGCAAGAGAUAACAGAAACUGUAUAACAGGGGCCGGGUGCAGACUACAGCCACAAAGUAGAGUAAAAUCCAUUGGUCUGUCAUUUAGUAACAUUUUCUAACCAGAUGAGCCAGCCAACCCUGGGCACUAAACCACUGCACAAGGGGAAAAGCACAGUUUAUUCUUCCCAUCUUCUCCUCACCCCAGGCUAUCCCCCAAAAAACAUAUACACAAAAUCUAUUCAAUUACUCUGAACCUGAAAUUAGUGCAUUUCUCUUGUUAAAUUUCCAGCUGUCACUCUCCUUCCCCACCCUGGGAUGCACUGUUCUCACCCUGAGAGGGUUCUACCACUUUCCUCCUCCACAGGUCUGAGAGACAGAGAUAGCCACCUGUCCCUUGCUCCUUCUGCCACCUGUGAUCCCUGAGGACAUCUCUCCCAUUCCUGAACUUGUCAGAAUUCUCAAAUUGCCCCCAGUGGGCUUUGCAUACAAAUGAUCACCCCCAUUAUGUAAGAGGAAGUUUUCUCCUCUGUCCAGACUAGACUUCCCAGGCAGUCACGUGAUAGGCUGUGGGUCUGUUUUGACAGGUAAUGAGGGCAGAGAAAGGAGCUAGGAUCUACUCGCACCUUUGCCAUUCACUGGCUAUGUAACCUUGGGCAAAAUUCUCUCUCUUUCCGGGUCACAAAUACCCCAUCUAUAAAGGAUGAAGGAAAACUAGCUCAGAGGUUCUUGACCUAAGUCCAUGGGUGGGCAAAAUUGUGUGUGUGUGCCCACAGACACAUGCAUACACCUGUGCAUGUAUCUGGGGGACACAGCCAAAGUAUGUAUCAGAUUCUCAAGGGGCUUUGUGAUGCAGAAAAGAUUAAGAACCCCCAGAGUUAGAUAACCUUCCUGCUCCAACAUGCGUUAUGGGGUUCUCUGCCCGACAUUUAAGGAGAUAUGAGUCCUGAAAUUCAGCUGCUCUCUGGCUCUUUUAUUGCUUUCCUAGCUGUUUUAUUAGCACUGAAAUGUAUGAAAGAAGAGAAACUCAAUCUAUGUGGCUUGUGAAGCCAAUGUGUCUGGAGUCAGCUAACACUGCCCUGGAUACGGGAACAAAGCCCUCGGCUCCUGCCUGAUGCAUCAGGCUGUAUUGUCUGUGCAAUCAGACGACUAUUGAAGCUUUCCAGCCAAAAGGAAGGCAUUUCCUAAUUAGAUCCUCAACCUGCCUGUAAAGUUGGAAUGUUCAAAUUUGAGUUCAUUAUUUUCUUUUUCUCUUCUUUCUUUUUAUUUUACUUGAGUACAUUGUUUUCUGAUAUUUCUGACUCUGUGCCCUUUCCUUUGCUUUAUCAUAGUUGAGGAAGCAGCAAAGAAUGGUGGCUAAGAGCCUUGGCUCUGUAUCCAGAAUGAGUUCAAAUUCCGGCUAUUCCACAUUAGCUAUUUAACCUAGGCCAGAGCACUAAGCCUCUUGCUUCCUCCUCAGUAAACAAAGAUGACAGUCCCUAUUCCAUAGAGCUUCAGUGAGAAUUAAAUUAGAUAAUCUAUAAAGAGGCUUAGAAUAUAGUAAAUGCUCAAUAAAUGUUACCUAUUAGUAUUAGGUUUUGAUAUUUAGAAAAGGGCCAGAGUAAUAAUUAUCACGUAACUAGGUUUCAUGGGAUACAAAGCAAACCUCAUAGUCAAACAGUAACUCGGCCCCACCUUUUAUACCUCUCAAACCCAAACCAGGCCCCACUGGAGAUCUCCUGGGCUCUUAAGAGGAUGUUUCCUAAGGUCCAAGGGUGCCAGCUGGAGCCCAGUCAAGAAGACCCCACCCCCGCACCCCCAGCU
rnacentral:lncRNA from 1 species